GACGUAGGGUGCGAGCGUUAAUCGGAAUUACUGGGCGUAAAGCGUGCGCAGGCGGUUUUGCAAGCCAGAGGUGAAAGCCCCGGGCUCAACCUGGGAAUGGCAUUUGGGACUGCAAGGCUUGAGUGCGGCAGAGGAGACUGGAAUUCCUGGUGUAGCAGUGAAAUGCGUAGAUAUCAGGAGGAAUACCGAUGGCGAAGGCAGGUCUCUGGGCUGACACUGACGCUCAUGCACGAAAGCGUGGGGAGCAAACAGG
rnacentral:rRNA from 1 species